AAUCACUAAUGGCCUCAUCUUCAAAUGGUCAGUGAUAAUAAACAAGAAGGAGGGAUUUCCAAGGGAGCAGAGCAUUAAUAAGCUACUUGUGCAAGAAGUUACAAUGAGAAAAAAAAAUUGCAAGAAAUAGAUGAGGGAAGGAGGUGCUGUAGAGAGAAAAACAAAGAGAGAAAAGGAGAAUGAAUUGUGCUGAGAUAGAGAUGCCUGGAUGAAAAAGCUGGCCCUAGCACCCAUAAAGCUGGAAAGAAAGUGGGGCCUUGGAAACUUCUGGAAGGAUGUGAGGAAAGAAAAAGGCAAGGAAAUGAGAUGGAGAGGAGAAAGAGAAACCAGGAAGCACUUCAGAAGCAUGUAAAUUGCAAGGAAAUGAGGAACAGCCUUUGUCUGUGAAGUCUGUGCUAGUGCUGAGAGCUUCAUUUUACUGUCCUGGCAAGGAGGUGUGGCCCCUCUCCAGUGCCCAGCACCUCAUUGCUAUGGUAACAGAAGACACGCUGAUUAUCCGGAUUUUGCCUCAGAGACUUAGGCUGUACAAGCUGCUUUCCUGGGGUAGCUUGUCCUUUUGCAGUUAACCGAGAUGCCUGGGGAGAAGAGCUUCCCCCAACAGGAUGGCAGGCGAUGCUUCCAGAUGCGGUCACUUGGCAUGUCUGAGCUGAAUGUCUCCAUAAAAAUAUGAUGUAAUUAACAGAGCCACAGCAGCUGGAACAAUUCAGCACCUCACAUUGAUUUUCCAUGUCUCCUAUUUACUUUCAGUUUUUAAACUGUCUGCAGUGACAGGAAAUCAAAGAAUUAUAAUGGUGUGUGUGAGGGCCCAAUGCUGGGUCGGCAUUUCCUUGUGAAAUCCUGAGAUUAAUCAGUUUCCUAUCACUCAGUCAUCCCUUUUCACUUCUAAAGGAAAGCUGUCCUCCAAAAUGCUACAAAAUAGCAGUCUAUUUUUGGAUAUUAAAAAAAUCAAUUGUAUUAUUUUAAAAUUUGAGAGGAGUGUUUUAAAAAAAAGUCAGCCCGAAGCAAUAUUCACUUGUCUGUUUUCCCCUUCAAGUUUAAUAGGAGUUGGCAAAGGCAUUUGGGUGCAGUGAGACACAAGUGCUAUAUUCACCCUUCCUGAGUUUUGAGAGCUUGGAAAAGUUACUUGGUGGACCCAAAGAGAGGAACUGCGUUCCAAGUUUUUUUGAUCACUGAAAUGAAGGAAAAUAAGUUUCCCCGUAUGUGGUUAUUCAUGAGCUUUCAUCUGAAGCUGGGUUGGUUUUCUCAUAGUUGGUCACUGUAUUUCCAGCUCUGUCAGGUGAAAGUCGGAAUCUUGGGUUAAUUUCACCUUGGGUUCCUUAAAAUGCUGGAGAAAAUAGGCAGCUGCGGUUGUAGUGGGGAAACAGGCCUCUGUCUGAAGUCAGCUUGCUCUAGAUUGUGUUUGAAAACAUGCCUCAGAUUUAAGUGGUCUUGCUAUUUUUCCAGACUCCCUUGUCUUGGCAGAUUCUGUGUCUUGGCCAUACUGUAAGAACUCACUUUUCUUUUUCUUUUUGUUGAUUCAAGCAAUAUAACCAUUUCAUAAAUAAUUAGGAAAAUAAAGAAGAAAAUUGCUCAUAAUUCUACUGCUCAAACACAAUAGCUAUGAUUGUUUUGGAGCAAUUACUUUGGGUCAUUUUCAAACGCUGAGUUUUGAUAUGAUUCUAAGCAUAAUGUACAAACAACUUUACAUGUUGCUUUUUCACUUAAUCUAUGUCAGAAGUAUUUCCCCAUGUUAUGAUUAGCUUCCUAAAUAUCUUUUUAAUUGCUGCCCAAACAGCUGGAACAAUUCAGUCCCUCUUAUUGACUUACCAUGUGUCCUAUGGAAGUAGAGACACUCUAUUAACUAUUUCUGUAUUUUGGGACAAUAGAGCAAAUCCAUUUUUCACUGUAAUUAAUCCCAUGAUAAGUACCUUUAUAAAAAAGCCUUUUUCUGUAUGUAAGAUAAUUUCUUUAGGAUAAAUUCCUAGAAAUUACAGGGUCAAAGUGGAUAAAUAUUUUAUGACUCUUGAUAUUUCUUGUUGAUCUUUAAAGCUAUUAUGUGACUUUAUAUUAUCACCUAAAAUGUUUGAGGAAUUCAUGCUUUAUGAGCGUAUUUUAUUGACUAAAUAUGCAGUACUGAGAGAGCUUUAUGUGUGCAGUUUGAUGAUGCUGACAGAUAUCCUGGAGAUAAACAUUUUUUAAUUUAAAGAUGUUCUGUUUAUGUUUAACAUACAGAAGUUAAUGUUAAACAUGAUGCCUAUUUUGUUUAACAUACAGAAGUGACUUUAUUAAAGCCAUUUCUUCUAAAUGUGCAAUAAACUAUGAAUUCUUUGCCUGGU
rnacentral:lncRNA from 1 species